GACGAACGCUGGCGGCGUGCCUAAUACAUGCAAGUAGAACGCUGAAGGAGGAGCUUGCUUCUCUGGAUGAGUUGCGAACGGGUGAGUAACGCGUAGGUAACCUGCCUGGUAGCGGGGGAUAACUAUUGGAAACGAUAGCUAAUACCGCAUAAUAUUGACUAUUGCAUGAUAGUCAGUUGAAAGGUGCAACUGCACCACUACCAGAUGGACCUGCGUUGUAUUAGCUAGUUGGUGGGGUAACGGCUCACCAAGGCGACGAUACAUAGCCGACCUGAGAGGGUGAUCGGCCACACUGGGACUGAGACACGGCCCAGACUCCUACGGGAGGCAGCAGUAGGGAAUCUUCGGCAAUGGACGGAAGUCUGACCGAGCAACGCCGCGUGAGUGAAGAAGGUUGUCGGAUCGUAAAGCUCUGUUGUAAGAGAAGAACGAGUGUGAGAGUGGAAAGCUCACACUGUGACGGAAUCUUACCAGAAAGGGACGGCUAACUACGUG
rnacentral:rRNA from 1 species